CGCUGAAACAGAUGUCUAAAUAAAUAGAGCAAUGGACAAUAGAGCAAUUAUUAUGAUGCUAUAAAACGCGGACCCCCAUUCAAGAGCUAGGUAGGAUCAGGUGAAUGAAGAACACUUUAUCAUUGACUCUCUGAGGAAGUGGGGCCCUUCCGCCCGCUGCAGAGCACACCCUGUUGUCCAGAAGUUCAAUUAAACGAACAAAAGCGGAACGUGUACGGUAUAUGAAUCAGUUCUUUGUUCUGAGGAGAGUAUUUGUGAUUAAAAUAUGUAUGGCUUGAAGUGAAAAUGUAGAACUUCGUCAUAUGUGUUACACAGUUGUACAAGUAAUGUUGCCAACCGUUACUUAACCCACUCCCAUGUUACUUUUUGCACUUCAAAGUAUCCAAUUAAACGGUUGGGCUCUUUUAAA